UGGCGAACGGGUGAGUAACACGUGGGUAACCUGCCCAUCAGAAGGGGAUAACACUUGGAAACAGGUGCUAAUACCGUAUAACAAUCGAAACCGCAUGGUUUUGAUUUGAAAGGCGCUUUCGGGUGUCGCUGAUGGAUGGACCCGCGGUGCAUUAGCUAGUUGGUGAGGCAACGGCUCACCAAGGCCACGAUGCAUAGCCGACCUGAGAGGGUGAUCGGCCACAUUGGGACUGAGACACGGCCCAAACUCCUACGGGAGGCAGCAGUAGGGAAUCUUCGGCAAUGGACGAAAGUCUGACCGAGCAACGCCGCGUGAGUGAAGAAGGUUUUCGGAUCGUAAAACUCUGUUGUUAGAGAAGAACAAGGAUGAGAGUAACUGUUCAUCCCUUGACGGUAUCUAACCAGAAAGCCACGGCUAACUACGUGCCAGCAGCCGCGGUAAUACGUANGUGGCAAGCGUUGUCCGGAUUUAUUGGGCGUAAAGCGAGCGCAGGCGGUUUCUUAAGUCUGAUGUGAAAGCCCCCGGCUCAACCGGGGAGGGUCAUUGGAAACUGGGAGACUUGAGUGCAGAAGAGGAGAGUGGAAUUCCAUGUGUAGCGGUGAAAUGCGUAGAUAUAUGGAGGAACACCAGUGGCGAA
rnacentral:rRNA from 1 species